CUGCAGUUAACGCAAUAAGUUCUCCGCCUGGGGAGUAUGCACGCAAGUGUGAAACUCAAAGGAAUUGACGGGGGCCCGCACAAGCGGUGGAGUAUGUGGUUUAAUUCGAAGCAACGCGAAGAACCUUACCAGGCCUUGACAUGGAUAUAAAUGUUCUAGAGAUAGAAAGAUAGCUAUAUAUCACACAGGUGGUGCAUGGUUGUCGUCAGCUCGUGUCGUGAGAUGUUGGGUUAAGUCCCGCAACGAGCGCAACCCUUGUCUUCUGUUACCAGCAUUAGGUUGGGGACUCAGGAGAGACUGCCGGUGACAAACCGGAGGAAGGUGGGGAUGACGUCAAAUCAUCAUGCCCCUUAUGGCCUGGGCUACACACGUACUACAAUGGCGCCUACAAAGAGCAGCGACACCGCGAGGUGGAGCGAAUCUCAUAAAGGGCGUCUCAGUUCGGAUUGAAGUCUGCAACUCGACUUCAUGAAGUCGGAAUCGCUAGUAAUCGCAGAUCAGCAUGCUGCGGUGAAUACGUUCUCGGGCCUUGUACACACCGCCCGUC
rnacentral:rRNA from 1 species